GGACAUGUAGCUCAGUUGGUAGAGCACUGGUGUGAAGUACCAGGCGCGAGGGUUCAAUUCCCUACUUGUCCAC
rnacentral:tRNA from 1 species